GGGAUUGUGGCUCGGUGGUAGAGCAUCCGCUUGGCAUGCAAAAGGUCCUAAACAGAUUCAAACCCCAAGGAAUCUCC
rnacentral:tRNA from 1 species